AGGAGCCGUGUGACGGGAAACUGUCAAGCACGGUUUUGAAGACGAGUAGGAGUGGUGACACUCAUGCUUAGUUUUAAC
rfam:Ktedonobacter racemifer DSM 44963 Krac_Contig203, whole genome shotgun sequence.